rnacentral:rRNA from 1 species
UACAGAGGUCUCAAGCGUUGUUCGGAAUCACUGGGCGUAAAGGGUGCGUAGGUGGCGUGGUAAGUCAGAUGUGAAAGCCCGGGGCUCAACCUCGGAACUGCAUCCGAUACUGCCAUGCUAGAGUACUGAAGAGGUGACUAGAAUUCUCGGUGUAGCAGUGAAAUGCGUAGAUAUCGAGAGGAAUACCAACGGCGAAGGCAGGUCACUGGGCAGUUACUGACACUGAGGCACGAAGGCCAGGGGAGCAAACGGG